rfam:Geoglobus ahangari strain 234, complete genome.
GAGCGGCGGAGGGCAGCUUCCCGCUGUGCGGGAGGAAAGUCCCCCCACCGCUGAUGGCGGGACGCCGCAAGGCGUCGUGCCGAGAGGCACGGCAACGGAACAGAAACGUCACUCCUGCAGGGUAAUGCGAGGAAGCCGGAAGGCCGAGAUCACCUGCGGGAGUUGAAACGGCCGUCCCCGCCGGUGCAAGGCAUGUGCCGCUCAGACGGAUGCUGCCUGAAACAGAAGGGGGCUUACUACCGCCACUC